GAAAAGAGACUUCCGCUUGUAGAUCACGAUAAAGCGGAUUGUGGCUUCCUUCUGUGGUUUAAGUAAAUGCGGGUUGUGGCUUUUUUCUUCUCAAGUAUAGCAGAUUGCUGCUUCUGGUUUUAAAAUUUACAUGAACAAAUGUUAUAAAAUUUCAUGUGAUGAAGCUCAUUUUAUUAGUUUUACAUUAUCUUUCCUGGAAAGGCGCCCAGGAACACUUCAAACAAAAACUCCGUAAUGUAACAGAAUCGAUGUGAACAAUUAAUAGCUAAUAUGAAUGUGUAUGUGUUUAUAGCGCUGAUGUGGUCUAGUGGACAGGCUGGCGCGAGUCUGGUAACCCAGGCGUACUGGGUUCGAUUCCCGGUAUCGGCAAGAAAAACUUUUGGGUUCGAAUCCCAUAAGUUGCCGACAGGUAAGAUGCAUUUCAUUGAUAAAUAACUAUAUGUAACAAAUAUUUCAGAGGGAAUGUAUCUGGGGUUAAUCUGAAGAGACUAUUGCAAGCGGAGUGGAUUGACAACCAUUGUAGGCCUCUAAGGUUGGAUGCCAAGCCACACAGACAUAGGCUGGACCUUGCUACCGAUGGGGGAACCAUACAUACAUACAUACAUACAAUAUGAAUGUGUAUGUGUUUAUUUGAGUGAAGGUAUAUGAUUGUGGGAAUGUGUCCGCCCUGUAGUGUAGCAUGGUUCACCUUCGAGUGGUGCAGGCUAAAAAAGAAGAAAUACCGCUAAAUGAACAAUUUUCAUAUUGGUUAAAGAUAAGUAAGGGAAUUUUCUUUCAUUUUAUCAUAUUUCUGGUAAUAAAGUAAUAACUUACUCCAUUUAAUUCUUAAUCAAUUUUAAAUUUAUUCAAGCUUUUCCUUGCUUUUCUGAAAUCACUGUACCUAAUAUCCUUUACCUUUCUUUUCUAGACUCGCAUUAGUCAUUUGACUUUUUCCGCUUCAACGCUUCCUUCCUUCGCUCUCGCAAAAAUCUUCCUGCGUUGAGCGAACAUGUGUAGAUACAUCUGCGGGAACAACGGCAGAUAUCCAAUGGCCAUAAUCCACACGAAGUAGUAGAAUGAGAAGGUAAAAUUGAACCGAUUGGGCAUCGAUACGCUCCAGACGUUGUUCUGUCCAAUGUAGCUUUGGGCCCAGUAGAAACACAGCAGCUCUCCGAUGAAUCCGAGUGGAUACAGUGGAACGAACAUACUGUAGCGGAUGAAGGUCACGAAGAACGGUACCUUGGGCAAGGCCAGAUGCAACACGUAGUAGCUGUAACGCAGAAUCUCCGCCAUGGACCAACAGAAGAUGGCGAUCGGAAGGCCGGGCGAAUCCUUGGCCGUCGGCGUUAGUUCGAUGGCUCCGGCAACCACCAUACAGCGUCCGAAUACUUGCAUCAGGGUUACCAUCGGGUUACUUGGAACCAAUCGGAAGAGAGCGUGGAAAAACUGCAAGUGACAAAGGUUUUCCUUCAACGAAGAAAUGUUGAAUGAGGCGGAUGUGGAUGUACAGCCAUCUGAAAGAUAUGGGACAUUCAUUUCAAAAUAUGGAAUAUGCUGUUUUAUUUAGAGAAAACAUUCGUGCCAAGUGAUAUUGUAUGGACAACAUCACAAAGUCAUACGAAUACUAGUGGAACAAAACAACGAACCCCAGAAUU